rnacentral:rRNA from 1 species
UACGGAGGAUGCAAGCGUUAUCCGGAAUGAUUGGGCGUAAAGCGUCCGCAGGUGGCAAUGUAAGUCUGCUGUUAAAGACCGGGGCUUAACCCCAGAAAGGCAGUGGAAACUGAAGUGCUAGAGUGCAGUAGGGGUAGAGGGAAUUCCCGGUGUAGCGGUGAAAUGCGUAGAGAUCGGGAAGAACAUCGGUGGCGAAAGCGCUCUGCUGGGCCGCAACUGACACUCAUGGACGAAAGCUAGGGGAGCGAAUGGG